GAAAGCCUUAUUCUAAAAAAUCAAUAGAAUCUGAAAGUGUGCUUCCUGACAUCAUUGGUUUACAUUUUGGUGCAAGCACCUUAACUGGUUGUAACUGGUAGCAGUUUGUGGCCCGGCUUCUGUGAUGGACUUUGAGCAGUGCUGUCCAUAGAGCAGUGGAGAAGGACAGCUACAGCUUACCUGUGGGUUCAAAGGUCAGGCUCCAAGGAGGCGAAGCCACCGUCCUUCCCUCCAUAACAGACUGACGUCCUGGACACCAUACUUAAAAGACCCAGACCCCACUUGGGUACACAGUUUGGAGACGGAGCUCACUCUUCCCUCAGCUGGGGACACUUGGCAGGGUGCAACCUGCACCACUGUACACUGGACAGUGUGAACUGACCUGGGAACUAAAUAAGCCACCAUGACAAGAAACUAGAAAUGCGGGAUAAGAAUGUGCCACCAAACCCAAGAGAGUGGUGACAGUGAGAGGCAACAGCCAGUUUCAUUGAGUGCCACCUCCAUGCCUGCCAGCCAUGCAUUGAGCAGAGGACAAAAGGAACACCCAUCGGUGCAGAGGACAAGGGCAGCAGGGCCUUGGAAUCUUUCAGGAUGAAAGGCCUCAGGAGCCUGAAAGGCAUUAAUGACAGGCUUUAGGUGUUGUUCUCCUCCCCCAGAGACACCUGCAAUCUAGAGGGCAGAAGGUGACUUUUCAGCUUGAAGCACUCAUGCAAGGUGCAGUUUUUGCUGCUCUGGAAAAUCUCCCCAAGAGUAACCAACAGCACCAAGAGAAAAGGAGGGCAGGGAGAAUAAUAACGAUAAUAUUUACAGCAUGGGUUGAGAUGUACCAUGUUGCCAAAUGCUGUUCUCAGUACUUUUAAUUUGAUCCUGUACGAUUUUACAUCUCCCAAAGGAGGAAACUGAGGCACAAAGGAAUGAAGUAACUUGCUCAAAUUUAAACAUUGUUUAAGUAGGACAAGACAGGAUUUGUAUCCAAGUAGCCUGAUCCUGGAAAUGAAGCUCUUGACAUAGCAAAAGAGACACAGGUAUUGAAUCAUAUUCAUUUCAUAAAGCCCUUGAGCAACUCAGAUGUGAAUAAAGCCCCCAUACUGCUGCCCUUGUUCCUCCCCCUAAUUCUGGUCUUGUCAUUGAUGAGCACCAAUCCCAUCUGCUGUGCCCAAGAAAGUAUGUGAAAAGAAGCUCAAGGAAAUGAGGGGGCUGAGCGUCUGCUCCCUGAGUCUAAGAAGCGGCUGUGUCAGGUCAGGCUGAAAGACACGAGAACUAGAGGCUGGAGGAAGCUGCACCGAGCUCUGGCCAGACUCUGUAAAACACAGACCAAACGCAGCUCAUGCAGAGGAGCAACCAGGCCAAUGAAAGGCCAGAAAACUACCCCAAAUAAGGGACUGCUGAAGGACCUAGAGAUGUUUAGCCUGAAGAAGAAAAGACGCAGGAGAUGGGAGAGCUGUUCCCAAAUAGCUCAGCUGUCCUCUUGGGAAGAGGGAUGAGGCUUUCCCUGCCUGGGGAUCCCAAGGGGGAGAAGUCACACAAAGGCAAAGAUGCUAAUUUCAGGAAAUGCUCAGAGAUAUUCAAAGACAAAUGAAGUUCCUGAUCUCAGUAAAGUAUUUAAGUACCAGCUAGAAGCCCACUGGCAUCCUCGUCAGUAACACACCUUUUCACUCUCAAAAGAGUCCUGGUUUGGGUCUCAAUUACUGGUCACCAGAAAGAGGGUCCACAGCCCCUCAGCUCCCAAAUAGCUUGUGUUGGCUUCACAACACUUCCAAGCUUGCAAUUAUUAAAUUUGCAUAUACAAGAUGUUUUGAGAUAGCAAUCUUUUUAAGGAUUUGUAACUACAUGGCUUAUACUUUUUAUCUACUUUUCAUCAUUUCCAUUGUGAUGAUUGAACAUAUUCCUUCAAAGGUUUGCUCCAUUUUCCUCUACCUAUGAGCUGCAUGCCAGCAGCGGAAACAAGCCCAGGAAUGUUGUACGGAAUGGAAAAGGCAGGAAAGCGCUGUUUGGCUUGGAAUUCCGCGGCUGGGGCAGGCAGGGUGGAGGAGUGAUACAGCUUUCUGAACAGGGUGUUCUUUGGGGCGUAGGGGACCUGAUGAAGGGAUCUAAGUUCAAAACAAAUGGGCAGCAACAGCAGGAGGGGCGUGAGAAGGGCCCAGGCUGGUGUCCCUGUGGGCCAGGUAGGAAACAGUGUCCAGGAGACAGUUGUCCUUUCAGAUUACAGCACUGUUCUGUUUUGCUAAUUUAUUUUUUGCAUGCAUCACAUACCUCGUGGCUAAAAUAGUAAUUUUUUAGUUACAGCUUAUAGGGAGGGAGGAAUUAAGAGAAAAAGCAAGCAAAAAGAGAAAGAGAGAGAGGCUUGGAAGGGAUCUCAGCAAAAGAAAUCAUCUAAGAUGAAGUAAUGCUGCCUCAAUUAAAGGAGUAGAGCAAGGAUCUUUCAAGUUUCUUUCUAGUUUAUGAUUCUUUGAUUAUUGCAAAGAGGAACUUCAGUCCAGUGCAGAGUGGGAGUCUCUCUUGCCCUGCUCAGCUGAAGGACUUUAAAUCGUCUCUCCUCUUUGAGCUUCAGGGUCCACAUGAGCUCACAUGAAAUCUUUAGGAUAGAUAUGUCCAAGGCCCCUACUUACUCUGAAGUUCAGUGAUGCUGUGAUUUAAGCUUAAAGGAGUUUGUGACUGCCCUGGAAACACCUUCCUCCAGGUAAAGCAAUGAAAUGGACAAAGUGGCAAGAAGGGAAUUUGUUCAUGAGCUGCCUGAAGAGUUUGUAAAUAUUAAUAGGAACACACAUGAUGAGAAAUGUAAGCAAGGAAGCCCCUAGACUUUUCCACGGGACCAGCCACCUCUGUCUUUCUCUGUGUCUUAUAGUUACCAACAGGAGGGGCAAAAGCAAGCUCAGAUGCCCGUUGUCUUUCGGAAAUCUCCCAGAAAAAUGAGGUGGUGGGUGUAAUGUUGAGAGCUGAUGGUGUCCCCUUCCCGAGGCACCUGAGGAGGCAUGGAUAGGAGACCUAUCUGGCAUCAGCAACUGACUUUGUCACUAGGCAAGUCAGGCUUAAAGCUCCAUGGGCCAGGUGUACCAGUGGCUUAUCAUUCUUUCACCCCAUACCAUAAGUUAAAGUAGAGACACUCAAAGGAGAAAUCUGGCAAAAUGUGGAGUAGACAAGGGAUGUGUCAUGGUAGAAAUACUAGCAGAAGACCCAGAAAACACCAGGAGCCCUGAUCCACUAGGGGCUGGUUACCUUCCCACAGGGAAAUUCUGCUCUGGGGUCCUCAAAAGCACCCCACUCACAGCCAGCCAUUUCCUAAAUGCCGGCCAGUGCUCCCAGGGGCCCUGCGUGAAACAGUGGCUAGUCCAUGUGAACACACGUGUGUUGGAAUGGGGGAAUAUAUUCAUGCACCUCUCCUUUACUUCUGAAGGACAGACAGGUUUGCAUCUGUGCUGUUUGGGGACAAUCGAAGCACAGUCCAUGCACUGGAGAACUGGGGCCACCAAGGGGCUCAGCCCCCAGAGUGCUCUGUACAGCCAUCCCUCCUAGAAGCCAAGGAAGCAUGUAAAGCUUUGAACGCAGCUGAUUGUCAUCUCUGAGGAAGGAAGCCACCAAUAAAGACCAAGGCCCUAGCUGAUGACAUCAUAAUAGUAUCUUCCAUGUGUAUCAUGCCUGACAGUGUGCAUAGCUUGUCUGUAUACUAUCUCAUCGGAUGCUGAUGACAACCCCGUGAAGUAAACGGAAUUGAUAUUAUCACUCCUGUUUUAAAAAUAAAAAAACUGAAGCUCAAAGUGACCUAAUGACAUACUCAAGCUCCCACGGCUAGGGAGUGGUGAGGCAUGGACUUCAGUGUCUAAAUUAAUGAAAGGCAGCACUUCAAAAGAGAACUAAAGGAGGCAGAACCAAUCCUCUUUGCUUUAUAGAAUGUACUUUCGUUCACGCCACUGUCGAUGGAAGCCCUGGGGAGAGAGCCGCUCAAGCAUUCCUUUGUAAGCGGCCCCGAAUUCCUGGCAAAUCAUUAGGCUUUCUAGAGCCCGCUCCCUGUGUGCACCACAUUCAGCUCCCCAGAAUCACAUUGGGUGGAAAAGUUAAUAACAAUCUCAGCUUUCCUCUGGCACCAAUUAGUACUUAAUAUAUUGAACACCCACACAGUCCUCACCAAGCCCUUCAGGGCUUUACGGCCACAGAGGAAAUGCUGUCAUUAUGCUCAAGGAAUUUACAGUCUCAAGAGGAAAUAGAAGAAGACGAAUAUCAAGUUAACAGGACAUAAAAUGCUUCACCAAAUACCAGUACAUGAAGUCUAAACAUAGGUGUGCUAUGUCUCAACCAAGGAAAACUCAUUAGAGUUUGGUCAUACUCCUAUGUCUGAAGCCAAUCACUGGAACAAGCAUAUUCACCUUGCUUACUGUCAUUAGUAAAUCAAAACACACUUGCAUAGAUUCAGACGCAUGCUUUAAUUUCGCAAGCCUUGCAUGUUCUACUACUACUACAACUAAUAUACUGUUUAAUUCUUUUUCACCUUUUAAUUCCUUUUAUAUAAACAUAUAAAGUGUGAACAUUAAUAAUAGUUUCCAUUAAUUAAAUGUUUACUCUGUGCACAUGUAAAUGCUUUAUAAUUGUCAUCUCAUUAAAUCCCCUCUAAGACUCUAUGAAGUAGCUUUUAUUAUCUCCACUCUUUGCAUAUAGAAACUGAGGACUAAAUGUAUUCAAAAUAGAGAUUUUGAAUAAAUUUCCCCAAAGUCCUAUAGCAUAGAAGUGGAAAAGGCAGAAUUUAAACCAAGAUCAGUCUAAAUCCAAAGCUCUUAAGAAGUUUAUAUUUCCUUAUUUUAACCUUAUGAUGUCUUUAUGCAGUAAGCAGGGAAGGUUGUAUCAAUUCACUUUUUAAAGGGGCAACACCCAAAGGUUCCACGACUUACCCAAGAGUUCUGCCACAAACUCUGCAACUCAGUUCUACUUACAAUCCGUCCCAUCAUCUUUCUAAGGUAACAGCAACUACUUGCAUUUAGAGGAAAAGCAAGAGUGUCAUAACCAGCCUUGAGACUGAAAUAUAAACAGGAGUGAAAUUUGUGCAUUUUUUAAUUGUUCUUUGCUUCAUGGAUAGUAUCACAUCCAAAUGUUAAAAACUACCUUUUCCUCAAUAGAGAAUGCAGAUGGUUUGGAAUCUUCAAAGCCACGCUGCAAAUGACCUACAUUUGAGAAAAGUCCUGCCCUGGCCGCUUCUCAAAGCUGCAUGAUGCCAGAGGUGGUUGGAUAAUCGAGCAGACUCCCCUGAGCAAUAUCCAAUCUAAAAUAGCAGUUAUGUCUGGGUCCCUGAUGACUCAGCAGAGUCCAAACUCCAUUGGAAAUUCUCUCCAUACAUCCUGCCCACUCUCGGUUUGCCUCCAUGGAGAGUCACCUUCUCUGAAACUCUGACAUAUUUGCUAAUCACCAUAGCAAGUUGGACAAAAUGUGUAUCUCGGCCAUAGUACUCCCACUCGCAUGAAUCCCCAUAAAAACUGUGGUCCUGCUGUAAUUGAUCAGAAAGUCAUAUGUCACCAUCAAUAAAGCC
rnacentral:lncRNA from 10 species